AUAUGUUGUGUGUUCUAGUGCUUUGGUUCAUUCCUAACUUGGAGGAAGAUCUUAAGUAAGGUUAGAGUAAGGAUAUAGAUGAUGAACUUAUUCAAUGCAGGAGUUGCUCUCAUCCUUUGAGACCAUAAGAAUUUUCUUAGUUGAGUCUUCAAGUAGCUAUUGCUUCUUAUUUAUGUGCUUUCUUCUUACUUCAUUUUGUGUACCUCUUUAUAUGUUAGGUGCUCCCACUCUUUCCCGGCUUUUAGAAGCUGGUCCUACACAGUUCACCACACCUCUUGCUUCCUUCACUACUGUUGCCAGUGAGCCUCCAGUUAAACUUGUGCCACCCCCUGUAGAGUCUGUGUCCCAAGCUACCAUUGUCAUGAUGCCUGCGCUGCCAGCACCAUCCUCUGCUCCGGCUGUCUCCACUACUGAAAGUGUAGCUCCAGUGAGUCAACCCGACAACUGUGUUCCCAUGGAGGCUGUGGGGGAUCCACAUACUGUGACUGUUUCCAUGGACAGCAGUGAAAUAUCCAUGAUCAUCAAUUCUAUCAAAGAAGAGUGUUUUCGAUCAGGGGUAGCAGAGGCUCCUGUUGGAUCAAAGGCUCCCAGCAUAGAUGGGAAGGAAGAAUUAGAUCUGGCUGAGAAGAUGGAUAUUGCUGUGUCUUACACAGGUGAAGAGCUGGAUUUUGAGACUGUUGGAGACAUCAUUGCCAUCAUUGAGGACAAGGUAGAUGAUCAUCCUGAAGUGCUGGAUGUGGCAGCAGUGGAAGCAGCACUGUCAU
rnacentral:sRNA from 1 species